rnacentral:tRNA from 1 species
GCAGUGGUGGUUCGGUGGUAGAAUUCUUGCCUUCCAUCCAGGAGACCCAGGUUGGAUUCCUGGCCACUGGA